AAACAUCUAAGUACCCCGAGGAAAAGAAAUCAACCGAGAUUCCCUCAGUAGCGGCGAGCGAACGGGGAUUAGCCCUUAAGCAUCUUGGAAGUUAGUGGAACGGUCCUGGAAAGGCCGGCGAUACAGGGUGAUAGCCCCGUACACGAAAACAACCUUGAUGUGAAAUCGAGUAGGGCGGGACACGUGACAUCCUGUCUGAAUAUGGGGGGACCAUCCUCCAAGGCUAAAUACUCCUGACUGACCGAUAGUGAACCAGUACCGUGAGGGAAAGGCGAAAAGAACCCCUGUGAGGGGAGUGAAAUAGAACCUGAAACCGUGUACGUACAAGCAGUGGGAGCCCUUCGGGGUGACUGCGUACCUUUUGUAUAAUGGGUCAGCGACUUACAUUUUGUAGCGAGGUUAACCGUAUAGGGGAGCCGUAGGGAAACCGAGUCUUAACUGGGCGUCUAGUUGCAAGGUGUAGACCCGAAACCGGGUGAUCUAGCCAUGGGCAGGUUGAAGGUUGAGUAACAUCAACUGGAGGACCGAACCCACUAACGUUGCAAAGUUAGGGGAUGACCUGUGGCUGGGGGUGAAAGGCCAAUCAAACUCGGAGAUAGCUGGUUCUCCCCGAAAGCUAUUUAGGUAGCGCCUCGGACGAAUACUACUGGGGGUAGAGCACUGUUUGGGCUAGGGGGUCAUCCCGACUUACCAACCCCAUGCAAACUCCGAAUACCAGUAAGUAAUAUCCGGGAGACACACGGCGGGUGCUAACGUCCGUCGUGAAGAGGGAAACAACCCAGACCGCCGGCUAAGGUCCCAAAGUUCUGGUUAAGUGGGAAACGAUGUGGGAAGGCUCAGACAGCUAGGAUGUUGGCUUAGAAGCAGCCAUCAUUUAAAGAAAGCGUAAUAGCUCACUAGUCGAGUCGGCCUGCGCGGAAGAUGUAACGGGGCUCAAACCAGGCACCGAAGCCGCGGAUUCACGCUAAGCGUGAGUGGUAGGGGAGCGUUCUGUAAGUCUGCGAAGGUGUGUCGAGAGGCAUGCUGGAGAUAUCAGAAGUGCGAAUGCUGACGUAAGUAACGAUAAAGGGGGUGAAAAGCCUCCUCGCCGGAAG
rnacentral:rRNA from 1 species